CCUACGGGAGGCAGCAGUGAGGAAUAUUGGUCAAUGGGCGCGAGCCUGAACCAGCCAAGUCGCGUGAGGGAUGACGGCCCUACGGGUUGUAAACCUCUUUUGCCGGGGAGCAACGGGCGCCACGUGUGGCGCCACUGAGAGUACCCGGAGAAAAAGCAUCGGCUAACUCCGUGCCAGCAGCGGCGGUAAGACGGAGGAUGCGAGGUUUAUCCGGAUUUAUUGGGUUAAAGGGGUGAGUAGGCGGAACGUUAAGUCAGUGGUAAAUUUGAGGGGCUCAACCCCUUCCCGCCAUUGAAACUGGCGCUCUUGAGUGUAAGAGAAGUAUGCGGAAUGCGUGGUGUAGCGGUGAAAUGCAUAGCUAUCACGCAGAACCCCGAUUGCGAAGGCAGCAUGCCGGCUUCCGACUGACGCUGAAGCACGAAAGCGUGGGGAUCGAACAGGAUUAGAUACCCUUGUAGUC
rnacentral:rRNA from 1 species